GACGAACGCUGGCGGCGUGCUUAACACAUGCAAGUCGAACGGAAAGGCCCUGCUUUUGUGGGGUUCUCGAGUGGCGAACGGGUGUGUAACACGUGAGUAUCCUGCCCUUGACUUUGGGAUAACAUCAGGAGACUGGGGCUAAUAUCGCAUAUGAGCUCCUGCAGCAUGGUGUGGGUUGGUGAGUUUCGGCGGUUGGGGAUGGACUCGCGGCUUAUCCGCUUGUUGGUGGGGUAGUGGCUUACCAAGGCUUUGACGGGUAGCCGGCGUGAGAGGGUGGCCGGCGACAAUGGGACUGAGGUACGGACCAGACUGCAACGGGAGGCAGCAGGGGGAAAUAUUGCACAAUGGGCGGAAGCCUGAUGCAGCGACGCCGCGUGCGGGAUGACGGCCUUCGGGUUGUAAACAGCUUUCGCCUGUGACGAAGCGGGAGUGACGGUAAUGGGUAAAGAAGCACCGGCUAACUACGUG
rnacentral:rRNA from 1 species